GCUUGCUGCUUUGCUGACGAGUGGCGGACGGGUGAGUAAUGUCUGGGAAACUGCCUGAUGGAGGGGGAUAACUACUGGAAACGGUGGCUAAUACCGCAUAACGUCGCAAGACCAAAGAGGGGGACCUUCGGGCCUCUUGCCAUCAGAUGUGCCCAGAUGGGAUUAGCUUGUUGGUGAGGUAACGGCUCACCAAGGCGACGAUCCCUAGCUGGUCUGAGAGGAUGACCAGCCACACUGGAACUGAGACACGGUCCAGACUCCUACGGGAGGCAGCAGUGGGGAAUAUUGCACAAUGGGCGCAAGCCUGAUGCAGCCAUGCCGCGUGUAUGAAGAAGGCCUUCGGGUUGUAAAGUACUUUCAGCGGGGAGGAAGGUGUUGCGGUUAAUAACCGCAGCAAUUGACGUUACCCGCAGAAGAAGCACCGGCUAACUCCGUGCCAGCAGCCGCGGUAAUACGGAGGGUGCAAGCGUUAAUCGGAAUUACUGGGCGUAAAGCGCACGCAGGCGGUCUGUCAAGUCGGAUGUGAAAUCCCCGGGCUCAACCUGGGAACUGCAUUCGAAACUGGCAGGCUUGAGUCUUGUAGAGGGGGGUAGAAUUCCAGGUGUAGCGGUGAAAUGCGUAGAGAUCUGGAGGAAUACCGGUGGCGAAGGCGGCCCCCUGGACAAAGACUGACGCUCAGGUGCGAAAGCGUGGGGAGCAAACAGGAUUAGAUACCCUGGUAGUCCACGCCGUAAACGAUGUCUACUUGGAGGUUGUGCCCUUGAGGCGUGGCUUCCGGAGCUAACGCGUUAAGUAGACCGCCUGGGGAGUACGGCCGCAAGGUUAAAACUCAAAUGAAUUGACGGGGGCCCGCACAAGCGGUGGAGCAUGUGGUUUAAUUCGAUGCAACGCGAAGAACCUUACCUGGUCUUGACAUCCACAGAAAG
rnacentral:rRNA from 1 species